UACAGAGGGGGCAAGCGUUGUUCGGAAUUACUGGGCGUAAAGGGCGCGUAGGCGGCCUUCUAAGUCGAACGUGAAAUCCCACGGCUCAACCGUGGAAGUGCACCCGAAACUGCGUAGCUAGAGUCCUGGAGAGGAAGGUGGAAUGCUUGGUGUAGAGGUGAAAUUCGUAGAUAUCAAGCGGAACACCGGUGGCGAAGGCGGCCUUCUGGACAGUGACUGACGCUGAGACGCGAAAGCGUGGGGAGCAAACAGGG
rnacentral:rRNA from 1 species